rnacentral:rRNA from 1 species
UGGCUCAGGACGAACGCUGGCGGCGUGCUUAACACAUGCAAGUCGAACGAGAAUCUGCGGAAAGAGGAUUCGUCCAAUUGAAGCAGAGGACAGUGGCGGACGGGUGAGUAACGCGUGAGGAACCUGCCUUUCAGAGGGGGACAACAGUUGGAAACGACUGCUAAUACCGCAUAAGAUUACAGUACCGCAUGAUACAGUGAUCAAAGGAGCAAUCCGCUGAAAGAUGGGCUCGCGUCCGAUUAGAUAGUUGGUGAGGUAACGGCUCACCAAGUCGACGAUCGGUAGCCGGACUGAGAGGUUGAACGGCCACAUUGGGACUGAGACACGGCCCAGACUCCUACGGGAGGCAGCAGUGGGGAAUAUUGCACAAUGGGCGAAAGCCUGAUGCAGCAACGCCGCGUGAGGGAAGACGGUUUUCGGAUUGUAAACCUCUGUUUUCGGUGACGAACAAAUGACGGUAACCGAGUAGGAAGCCACGGCUAACUACGUG